UAGAGUUUGAUCCUGGCUCAGGAUGAACGCUAGCGACAGGCCUAACACAUGCAAGUCGAGGGGCAUCGGGGCGAGGAGCAAUCCUUGCCGCCGGCGACCGGCGCACGGGUGAGUAACGCGUAUGCGACCUGCCCGUUGCAGGGGGAUAAUCGGGAGAAAUCCCGUCUAAUACCGCGUAACGCCGCGGGGCUGCAUGGCCCUGCGGCCAAAGGAAGCGAUUCCGGCAACGGAUGGGCAUGCGUGACAUUAGCUAGUUGGCGGGGCAACGGCCCACCAAGGCGACGAUGUCUAGGGGUUCUGAGAGGAAGGUCCCCCACACUGGUACUGAGACACGGACCAGACUCCUACGGGAGGCAGCAGUGAGGAAUAUUGGUCAAUGGGCGCGAGCCUGAACCAGCCAAGUCGCGUGAGGGAUGACGGCCCUACGGGUUGUAAACCUCUUUUGUCGGGGAGCAAAUUCCGCCACGUGUGGCGGAGUCGAGAGUACCCGAAGAAAAAGCAUCGGCUAACUCCGUGCCAGCAGCCGCGGUAAUACGGAGGAUGCGAGCGUUAUCCGGAUUUAUUGGGUUUAAAGGGUGCGCAGGCGGAAGAUCAAGUCAGCGGUAAAAUUGAGAGGCUCAACCUCUUCGAGCCGUUGAAACUGGUUUUCUUGAGUGAGCGAGAAGUAUGCGGAAUGCGUGGUGUAGCGGUGAAAUGCAUAGAUAUCACGCAGAACUCCGAUUGCGAAGGCAGCAUACCGGCGCUCAACUGACGCUCAUGCACGAAAGUGUGGGUAUCGAACAGGAUUAGAUACCCUGGUAGUCCACACAGUAAACGAUGAAUACUAAUUGUUCGGGGAGAAUGAUCCCUGAGUGAUACAGCGAAAGCGUUAAGUAUUCCACCUGGGGAGUACGCCGGCAACGGUGAAACUCAAAGGAAUUGACGGGGGCCCGCACAAGCGGAGGAACAUGUGGUUUAAUUCGAUGAUACGCGAGGAACCUUACCCGGGCUCAAACGACACAGGAAUACUUUUGAAAGGAGGUAGCUCUACGGAGUCUGUGUCGAGGUGCUGCAUGGUUGUCGUCAGCUCGUGCCGUGAGGUGUCGGCUUAAGUGCCAUAACGAGCGCAACCCCCAUCGCCAGUUACCAGCAAGUCAAGUUGGGGACUCUGGCGAGACUGCCGGCGCAAGCUGUGAGGAAGGCGGGGAUGACGUCAAAUCAGCACGGCCCUUACGUCCGGGGCGACACACGUGUUACAAUGGCAGGUACAGAGAGAAGCAAUGCGGCGACGCAAAGCGGAACUUGAAAGCCUGUCUCAGUUCGGAUUGGAGUCUGCAACUCGACUCCAUGAAGCUGGAUUCGCUAGUAAUCGCGCAUUAGCCAUGGCGCGGUGAAUACGUUCCCGGGCCUUGUACACACCGCCCGUCAAGCCAUGGAAGCCGGGAGUGCCUGAAGUGCGUGAGCGCAAGCAGCGCCCUAGGGUAAAACCGGUGACUGGGGCUAAGUCGUAAUCAAGGUAACCGUA
rnacentral:rRNA from 1 species